AGAGUUUGAUCCUGGCUCAGAAUCAACGCUGGCGGCGUGCCUAAUACAUGCAAGUCGAACGCGAAAGUCCCGCAAGGGAUGAGUAGAGUGGCAAACGGGUGAGUAACACGUGGGUGACCUGCCUUCGAGCGGGGGAUAACGUCCCGAAAGGGACGCUAAUACCGCAUGACAUCCUGCCUUUGAAGAGGCGGAGAUCAAAGCUGGGGAUCGCAAGACCUGGCACUUGAAGAGGGGCCCGCGCCUGAUUAGCUAGUUGGUGGGGUAACGGCUCACCAAGGCAACGAUCAGUAUCCGGCCUGAGAGGGCGGACGGACACACUGGGACUGAGACACGGCCCAGACUCCUACGGGAGGCAGCAGUAGGGAAUUGUUCGCAAUGGGCGCAAGCCUGACGACGCAACGCCGCGUGGAGGAUGAAGACCUUCGGGUCGUAAACUCCUUUCGAUCGAGACGAAUGGCUUCCGGCUGAAUAAGCCGGGAGAAUGACGGUACCGAGAGAAGAAGCCCCGGCUAACUCCGUGCCAGCAGCCGCGGUAAUACGGGGGGGGCAAGCGUUGUUCGGAAUUACUGGGCGUAAAGGGCUCGUAGGUGGCCAACUAAGUCAGACGUGAAAUCCCUCGGCUUAACCGGGGAACUGCGUCUGAUACUGGAUGGCUUGAGAUUGGGAGAGGGAUGCGGAAUUCCAGGUGUAGCGGUGAAAUGCGUAGAUAUCUGGAGGAACACCGGUGGCGAAGGCGGCAUCCUGGACCAACACUGACACUGAGGAGCGAAAGCCAGGGGAGCAAACGGGAUUAGAUACCCCGGUAGUCC
rnacentral:rRNA from 1 species